rnacentral:rRNA from 1 species
GACGAACGCUGGCGGCGUGCCUAAUACAUGCAAGUCGAACGCAGUGGGGACGGGUGAGUAACACGUGGGUAACCUCCCAUCAGAGGGGAUAACACUUGGAAACAGGUGCUAAACCGAUACUGAUGGAUGGACCCGCGGUGCAUUAGCUAGUUGGUGAGGUAACGGCCCACCAAGGCCACGAUGCAUAGCCGGUCUGAGAGGGUGAUCCGCCACACUGGGACUGAGACACGGCCCAGACUCCUACGGGAGGCAGCAGUAGGGAAUCUUCGGCAAUGGACGAAAGUCUGACCGAGCCACGCCGCGUGUGUGAAGAAGGUGUUCGGAUUGUAAAACUCUGUUGUUAGGGAAGCGGUACCUACACAAAAAGCCACGGCUAACUACGUGCCAGCCGCCGCGGUAAUUC